rnacentral:rRNA from 1 species
CCUACGGGAGGCAGCAGUGAGGAAUAUUGGUCAAUGGACGGAAGUCUGAACCAGCCAUGCCGCGUGCAGGAAGACGGCUCUAUGAGUUGUAAACUGCUUUUGUACGAGAAUAAUAGUUCUUACGUGUAGCUAUUUGAAUGUAUCGUACGAAUAAGGAUCGGCUAACUCCGUGCCAGCAGCCGCGGUAAUACGGAGGAUUCGAGCGUUAUCCGGAUUUAGUGGGUUUAAAGGGUGCGUAGGCUGUCGGAUAAGUUAGAGGUCAAAUCACGGGGCUUAACCCCGUGACUGCCUCUGAUACUGUUCGACUAGAGAGCGGAUGCGGCAGGCGGAAUGAAUAGUGUAGCGGUGAAAUGCUUAGAUAUUACACAGAACACCGAUUGCGCAGGCAGCUUACUAAUCCGCAUCUGACGUUGAUGCACGAAAGCGUGGGGAGCGAACAGGAUUAGAUACCCCUGUAGUC